UUAAGCGACUAAGCGUACACGGUGGAUGCCCUGGCAGUCAGAGGCGAUGAAGGACGUGCUAAUCUGCGAUAAGCGUCGGUAAGGUGAUAUGAACCGUUAUAACCGGCGAUUUCCGAAUGGGGAAACCCAGUGUGNCACACUAUCAUUAACUGAAUCCAUAGGUUAAUGAGGCGAACCGGGGGAACUGAAACAUCUAAGUACCCCGAGGAAAAGAAAUCAACCGAGAUUCCCCCAGUAGCGGCGAGCGAACGGGGAGCAGCCCAGAGCCUGAAUCAGUGUGUGUGUUAGUGGAAGCGUCUGGAAAGGCGCGCGAUACAGGGUGACAGCCCCGUACACAAAAAUGCACAUAUUGUGAGCUCGAUGAGUAGGGCGGGACACGUGGUAUCCUGUCUGAAUAUGGGGGGCCCAUCCUCCAAGGCUAAAUACUCCUGACUGACCGAUAGUGAACCAGUACCGUGAGGGAAAGGCGAAAAGAACCCCGGCGAGGGGAGUGAAAAAGAACCUGAAACCGUGUACGUACAAGCAGUGGGAGCACGCUUAGGCGUGUGACUGCGUACCUUUUGUAUAAUGGGUCAGCGACUUAUAUUCUGUAGCAAGGUUAACCGAAUAGGGGAGCCGAAGGGAAACCGAGUCUUAACUGGGCGUUAAGUUGCAGGGUAUAGACCCGAAACCCGGUGAUCUAGCCAUGGGCAGGUUGAAGGUUGGGUAACACUAACUGGAGGACCGAACCGACUAAUGUUGAAAAAUUAGCGGAUGACUUGUGGCUGGGGGUGAAAGGCCAAUCAAACCGGGAGAUAGCUGGUUCUCCCCGAAAGCUAUUUAGGUAGCGCCUCGUGAAUUCAUCUCCGGGGGUAGAGCACUGUUUCGGCAAGGGGGUCAUCCCGACUUACCAACCCGAUGCAAACUGCGAAUACCGGAGAAUGUUAUCACGGGAGACACACGGCGGGUGCUAACGUCCGUCGUGAAGAGGGAAACAACCCAGACCGCCAGCUAAGGUCCCAAAGUCAUGGUUAAGUGGGAAACGAUGUGGGAAGGCCCAGACAGCCAGGAUGUUGGCUUAGAAGCAGCCAUCAUUUAAAGAAAGCGUAAUAGCUCACUGGUCGAGUCGGCCUGCGCGGAAGAUGUAACGGGGCUAAACCAUGCACCGAAGCUGCGGCAGCGACGCUUAUGCGUUGUUGGGUAGGGGAGCGUUCUGUAAGCCUGCGAAGGUGUGCUGUGAGGCAUGCUGGAGGUAUCAGAAGUGCGAAUGCUGACAUAAGUAACGAUAAAGCGGGUGAAAAGCCCGCUCGCCGGAAGACCAAGGGUUCCUGUCCAACGUUAAUCGGGGCAGGGUGAGUCGACCCCUAAGGCGAGGCCGAAAGGCGUAGUCGAUGGGAAACAGGUUAAUAUUCCUGUACUUGGUGUUACUGCGAAGGGGGGACGGAGAAGGCUAUGUUGGCCGGGCGACGGUUGUCCCGGUUUAAGCGUGUAGGCUGGUUUUCCAGGCAAAUCCGGAAAAUCAAGGCUGAGGCGUGAUGACGAGGCACUACGGUGCUGAAGCAACAAAUGCCCUGCUUCCAGGAAAAGCCUCUAAGCAUCAGGUAACAUCAAAUCGUACCCCAAACCGACACAGGUGGUCAGGUAGAGAAUACCAAGGCGCUUGAGAGAACUCGGGUGAAGGAACUAGGCAAAAUGGUGCCGUAACUUCGGGAGAAGGCACGCUGAUAUGUAGGUGAAGUCCCUUGCGGAUGGAGCUGAAAUCAGUCGAAGAUACCAGCUGGCUGCAACUGUUUAUUAAAAACACAGCACUGUGCAAACACGAAAGUGGACGUAUACGGUGUGACGCCUGCCCGGUGCCGGAAGGUUAAUUGAUGGGGUCAGCGCAAGCGAAGCUCUUGAUCGAAGCCCCGGUAAACGGCGGCCGUAACUAUAACGGUCCUAAGGUAGCGAAAUUCCUUGUCGGGUAAGUUCCGACCUGCACGAAUGGCGUAAUGAUGGCCAGGCUGUCUCCACCCGAGACUCAGUGAAAUUGAACUCGCUGUGAAGAUGCAGUGUACCCGCGGCAAGACGGAAAGACCCCGUGAACCUUUACUAUAGCUUGACACUGAACAUUGAGCCUUGAUGUGUAGGAUAGGUGGGAGGCUUUGAAGUGUGGACGCCAGUCUGCAUGGAGCCGGCCUUGAAAUACCACCCUUUAAUGUUUGAUGUUCUAACGUGGACCCGUGAUCCGGGUUGCGGACAGUGUCUGGUGGGUAGUUUGACUGGGGCGGUCUCCUCCUAAAGAGUAACGGAGGAGCACGAAGGUUGGCUAAUCCUGGUCGGACAUCAGGAGGUUAGUGCAAUGGCAUAAGCCAGCUUGACUGCGAGCGUGACGGCGCGAGCAGGUGCGAAAGCAGGUCAUAGUGAUCCGGUGGUUCUGAAUGGAAGGGCCAUCGCUCAACGGAUAAAAGGUACUCCGGGGAUAACAGGCUGAUACCGCCCAAGAGUUCAUAUCGACGGCGGUGUUUGGCACCUCGAUGUCGGCUCAUCACAUCCUGGGGCUGAAGUAGGUCCCAAGGGUAUGGCUGUUCGCCAUUUAAAGUGGUACGCGAGCUGGGUUUAGAACGUCGUGAGACAGUUCGGUCCCUAUCUGCCGUGGGCGCUGGAGAACUGAGGGGGGCUGCUCCUAGUACGAGAGGACCGGAGUGGACGCAUCACUGGUGUUCGGGUUGUCAUGCCAAUGGCACUGCCCGGUAGCUAAAUGCGGAAGAGAUAAGUGCUGAAAGCAUCUAAGCACGAAACUUGCCCCGAGAUGAGUUCUCCCUGACCCUUUAAGGGUCCUGAAGGAACGUUGAAGACGACGACGUUGAUAGGCCGGGUGUGUAAGCGCAGCGAUGCGUUGAGCUAACCGGUACUAAUGAACCGUGAGGCUUAACCUU
rnacentral:rRNA from 1 species